AUAUACUUACGGUGUCUAAGCGUAAAAGUUAGAGAAUUAUAAUUGCCAAGAACUGCAUUAUAGUUCGUAUUAGUGGUAGCACUAACUGAACAUGUAGAUCGGAUAACAACUACAAUAUAAUAGCAGACACAUGAUUGUCCAAAGGGUUCCACCUCUAACUCUCGCAACUACAUUUAAGACCAAAAUACCUUUUAACGGCCUAUUUUGAGCUUGAAAGAAGAACUGCUACGCCCCUUCUCUUCAGUAAUAUCCUAAGCUUCUCUCUUUUCCAUACUAUGAAGUGUCGCAUUAAGAAUGCCACAAGAUCAUGUGAUGUUGAUGUUGGUCGUUAGAAAACUCAGCUAGGACAAAAAUAACAGUGAUCUCCUUGUUGGUUGGCAGGCUUCCUGGUCCCUGCAAUUCUUCAUAAAAAAAUUAUCAAACUACGGAGUUUGUGAAUUUGUGUGACACUGUGCAGGAGCAAAAACCAUGGAUAAUUAUGUUAAUCAGUCAGUUGAACCAGAAAAAAUAUAAAGGAAACCGGAAAAACUCAUAGAAUUUGUUCCAGAUACUACUAUUGUCUAUAAUACUGCAUUCGUAAUGACAACAUGUCAACAUCUCCACAAGUUUUUAAUGAAAAUCAAACAAACUUAAGAGAAGAAUAAAAAAAAGUUCACUAAUAACUUGCCUGAAAUUGAAAGAACCCGAAGAACAGACAAAGUUAGAAUCAACAAUAUGGUAAACCAGAAGAUGAACCGCCUGAAGAAGAAGUUUUUGGGAGUAGGUGAAACCUAAUUGUUUAUUUCAAGCAUGAGUAGAAAUUUCGAGAAAGAGAUUUUUGUACUUGUGUUUGAAAUUUCUCCACUUGGAGAGAAAUUUGUCAAUAAGUACCAUUAAAUUAAAUAUUGUACCAAUUGACAAUUAUACCCUUAAAAGAUUAUUCUAGAUCUGAGUAUCUCUUAACAAUGUCUUAAUUUACACUUCUCAUCCUCUAUAUCAAUUUUGCAUGGAUGUUCGUUUAUAAUUCUGUGCGAAACAGAAAUCUUUUUGUUUUUAUUUUUUAUAAAUGGAGUAGAAGAGGAAAUUGAAGAGAAAAU
rnacentral:lncRNA from 1 species